rnacentral:tRNA from 1 species
AGGAGCAUAGUUCAAUUGGUAGAAUAGUGGUCUCCAAAACCAAAGAUUUAGGGUUCAAGUCCCUUUGUUCCUGCCA